UCUUAGAUUUACUGAACAAUUUCUGAGUAACUAAUGGCUAGCCUUUUAUUAUUCUAUGAUGAUAAACAUUUUUACAGUAUCCAGGCUUCAGACAUAUUUUUGAAAACAUUUCUAUAUGGGUCAAAAUUUAAAUCAGUUGUAAUAUGUGAUCCACUCAAAUAUAUUCUCCAGGAUGCGCUAUUAAAAUGAAAUACCGAGGUGGUUCCCCAAGACACCAAUUUAAAGUGUAUAUGUGCAGUGCAGGGUUACUGGACCAAGGCACAGUGUAAACAGUGAAAUUUUAUUUUUUGUUUUCUUUUUCCUAAGAUGUUUCUUAUUCCCCAUUAUAUAAAAAUAUGUAUUACAGGCAAAGAAAAAUUAACACGAAUAUAAGUAAAUAUAAAGUAUAUUCACAUUAAUAUCAGCUUUGCUUUAUCUAUUAAAGGAUGUAACACACUUGUGGUUUUCAGGACCUUGUAACUCCUGGUUCAUUGGAAAGCAUAGAAAUUCUUCAGAGCCUCAAGAGUUGUGUUUAACACAUUAUUUAAAUAGUGUCCAACCACUAGUUAGAUAGCUUAGCACUCAAAUAGCCUUUGAAAUCUCUGUAGACUCACCUCAAUUGAGGAGUCCUGAUAAUUUACAGAAGUGUGUAGUGCACUAAGAGAUCCCUGAUGGAUAAUGUCUUUGCCUGUGGAGUGUUUUAUGUGUUGAUCCACUGGAGUGUGUGUGUGUGUGUGUGUCUGUGUGUAGGUGGGUGAGUAUGGGUGGGCGUGGAUUGUGUGUGUGUGUAUGUGUUUACACUGUGGUAUGUGUCUGUUGGGGUGCCACCAUUUGGGAUUUGGAAAAGUGAGGACCAUAAACUUGUCAACAUUCCUACAUGCCUG
rnacentral:lncRNA from 1 species